AUUGAACGCUGGCGGAAUGCUUUACACAUGCAAGUCGAACGGUAGAGGGGGCAACCCCUUGAGAGUGGCGAACGGGUGAGUAAUAUAUCGGAACGUGCCCAGUCGUGGGGAUAACGUAGCGAAAGUUACGCUAAUACCGCAUACGAUCUAAGGAUGAAAGCGGGGGAUCGCAAGACCUCGCGCGAUUGGAGCGGCCGAUAUCAGAUUAGGUAGUUGGUGAGGUAAAGGCUCACCAAGCCAACGAUCUGUAGCUGGUCUGAGAGGACGACCAGCCACACUGGAACUGAGACACGGUCCAGACUCCUACGGGAGGCAGCAGUGGGGAAUUUUGGACAAUGGACGCAAGUCUGAUCCAGCCAUUCCGCGUGCAGGAUGAAGGCCCUCGGGUUGUAAACUGCUUUUGUACGGAACGAAAAGGUUUCUAUUAAUACUUAGGAGCUCAUGACGGUACCGUAAGAAUAAGCACCGGCUAACUACGUAGCCAGCAGCCGCGGUAAUGUG
rnacentral:rRNA from 1 species